UACGAAGGGGGCUAGCGUUGUUCGGAAUUACUGGGCGUAAAGCGCGCGUAGGCGGUCAUCUAAGUCAGGGGUGAAAUGCCAGGGCUCAACCUUGGAAUUGCCUUUGAUACUGGAUGUCUGGAGUUCGGGAGAGGUGAGUGGAAUUCCGAGUGUAGAGGUGAAAUUCGUAGAUAUUCGGAGGAACACCCGUGGCGAAAGCGGCUCUCUGGGACGGUACUGACGCUGAGACGCGAAAGCGUGGGGAGCGAACAGG
rnacentral:rRNA from 1 species